UGGGGAAUAUUGCGCAAUGGGCGAAAGCCUGAUGCAGCGACGCCGCGUGAGGGAUGAAGGAUUUCGGAUCGUAAACCUCUGUCAGAAGGGAAGAAACCGCACUGUGCUAAUCAGCAGUGCCUUGACGGUACCUUCAAAGGAAGCACCGGCUAACUCCGUGCCAGCAGCCGCGGUAAUACGGAGGGUGCAAGCGUUAAUCGGAAUUACUGGGCGUAAAGCGCACGUAGGCUGCUUUGUAAGUCAGGGGUGAAAUCCCACGGCUCAACCGUGGAACUGCCUUUGAUACUGCUUAACUUGAAUCCGGGAGAGGGUGGCGGAAUUCCAGGUGUAGGAGUGAAAUCCGUAGAUAUCUGGAGGAACAUCAGUGGCGAAGGCGGCCACCUGGACCGGUAUUGACGCUGAGGUGCGAAAGCGUGGGGAACAAACAGG
rnacentral:rRNA from 1 species